rnacentral:snoRNA from 1 species
GUGAGGUGAUGAUGAAGUUUAUCCAUUCUCUGAGUGCAGUGGUGCUGCCCUCCUGCAGCACCCAGAUUCCUGUUCUAGGGUCUGGGUGCUGUGCAGCCUCCAGAGACUCCUCCAGUCUCCCAGUGUCCUGCUGGGGGCUGCUGUGGUCUGUGGCUGGCUGCCUGCAGGAGUGAAGUGGUGCCAUCAGGGUUGGAGACCCUCUUUUGAGGGGCUUCAUCCUGACUGAGAUGAGGGAUGACGUCUGAUCAC